rnacentral:tRNA from 1 species
ACAGUUGUGGUUCAGUGGUAGAAUUCCCGCCUUCCAUGUGGGACACUUGGGUUUGAUUCCUGGUGAAUGGU